UCCCAAGCCUUCUGGCGAUCUAGACAAAACAAGUCCACCGUGGGCUUUGAAAAACGCUUUCCUUGAUAAAAUUUAAGCGUUUUAUAAGAGGAUGCCGGGGAAGGUUUUCCGGUUUAUCCCGGAGGGCUUGUAGCUCAGUUGGUUAGAGCGCGCGCUUGAUAAGCGUGAGGUCGGAGGUUCAAGUCCUCCCAGGCCCACCAGUUUAUCCAUUACUUUCAUAAGUGCUUUUAAAAAAUAAGUACUUCUAAAAAGAUUGCUUCUAAAAAGCUUAUCAAAAUUGGCAGGCUUAUUGCUUUUGUGUGAGUAAUCCAAAGUUAAAGCAAAUUAAUGGCAAAAAAACAGUUCAAAUGCUAAAUACUAAGGAGUCAAAAUUCCUUGCAAAGUGAUUUUUACAGCGUCCAUUUGGUUGAUAUAAAUUCCAAAUGCUCAUAGACGUCAAUGCCUAUAUGAAACUAUCGGUUCAAUCAUAUCGCUUUGAGUUAUAUAGAUUUUGUAAUCCCUCUUUUGAUCGUUUUAAACGCUUUAUUCUGAUUUAGGGGCCGUAGCUCAGCUGGGAGAGCACCUGCUUUGCAAGCAGGGGGUCGUCGGUUCGAUCCCGUCCGGCUCCACCAUAAGGUCAUCAUCAUUGUGUUAAGAACA
rnacentral:tRNA from 1 species